rnacentral:rRNA from 1 species
CUUUGGGAUAACCCUCGGAAACGGGGGCUAAUACCGAAUACGACCUUCUGCCGCAUGGUGGGGGGUGGAAAGUUUUUCGGCCUGGGAUGGGCUCGCGGCCUAUCAGCUUGUUGGUGGGGUGAUGGCCUACCAAGGCGACGACGGGUAGCCGGCCUGAGAGGGCGACCGGCCACACUGGGACUGAGACACGGCCCAGACUCCUACGGGAGGCAGCAGUGGGGAAUAUUGCACAAUGGGCGGAAGCCUGAUGCAGCGACGCCGCGUGAGGGAUGACGGCCUUCGGGUUGUAAACCUCUUUCAGCAGGGACGAAGCGCAAGUGACGGUACCUGCAGAAGAAGCGCCGGCCAACUACGUGCCAGCAGCCGCGGUAAGACGUAGGGCGCGAGCGUUGUCCGGAUUUAUUGGGCGUAAAGAGCUCGUAGGCGGCUUGUCACGUCGACCGUGAAAACUUGGGGCUCAACCCCAAGCCUGCGGUCGAUACGGGCAGGCUAGAGUUCGGUAGGGGAGACUGGAAUCCCUGGUGUAGCGGUGAAAUGCGCAGAUAUCAGGAGGAACACCGGUGGCGAAGGCGGGUCCCUGGGCCGAUACUGACGCUGAGGAGCGAAAGCGUGGGGAGCGAACAGGAUUAGAUACCCUGGUAGUCCACGCUGUAAACGUUGGGCGC